CAAAUAGUACGGGGAACUUGCAGCCCUCAUACUCACCCUCUGCCCUGCUCAACCCCCACCAGCCCCACCAGGGGGCCUAGAGGUGCCCUGGAGUUGCAGAAAGUGGAAACAGAGAAGCUAAACACUGGAGAGUUUGGGGCUGCCAAAUGAACAGGCCUUGCCACAUCAAGCAUGUUGUAGAGCCAAGACCACCCAAGGAACAACCAAAUGGACUCUUGGAAGGAAAGGCCAAGGCACAAACAAUACCAACUCAAAGGGCAUCACAAGGGGUUCAGGCCCUUGAGAGAGAGAUGGGGUGUUAUAGGAUGCCUUUGGCUCUGUCAUUCUCCUCCAGGAAUGAGGAGAAACAACUCGGAGGGAAGGAUACUCAGUUUUCUCUACAUCUGAACUCGCCCGCAAUAUCUCCAUGAGGACAACUUACUGUGGAUGACCUCCAUGGUAUUGCUGCAGUAUUGAACCUCGUGGUCAGGCGUCUCCUCUCACCUGUACAGUUGCUUUACUAUUUCUCAUCCCACCUGCUAUGAGCCAGCCAAUAAAGGUAUCAGUAAAUUAA